rnacentral:piRNA from 1 species
GGAACAUUGUCUCUACAUGGGCCAUCU